CCUACGGGUGGCAGCAGUGGGGAAUAUUGCACAAUGGGGGAAACCCUGAUGCAGCGACGCCGCGUGAGUGAAGAAGUAUCUCGGUACGUAAAGCUCUAUCAGCAGGGAAGUAAAUGACGGUACCUGACUAAGAAGCCACGGCUAACUACGUGCCAGCAGCCGCGGUAAUACGUAGGGGGCAAGCGUUAUCCGGAUUUACUGGGUGUAAAGGGAGCGUAGACGGCAGCAAAAGUCUGGAGUGAAAUCCCGGGGCUUAACCCCGGAACUGCUUUGGAAACUGUGCGGCUGGAGUGCAGGGAGGGUAAGCGGAAUUCCUAGUGUAGCGGUGAAAUGCGUAGAUAUUAGGAGGAACACCGGUGGCGAAGGCGGCUUGCUGGAGUGUAACUGACGUUGAGGCUCGAAAGCGUGGGUAGCGAACAGGAUUAGAUACCCUUGUAGUC
rnacentral:rRNA from 1 species